rnacentral:rRNA from 1 species
GAUGAACGCUGGCGGCGUGCCUAAUACAUGCAAGUCGAGCGAACAGACGAGGAGCUUGCUCCUCUGACGUUAGCGGCGGACGGGUGAGUAACACGUGGAUAACCUACCUAUAAGACUGGGAUAACUUCGGGAAACCGGAGCUAAUACCGGAUAAUAUAUUGAACCGCAUGGUUCAAUAGUGAAAGACGGCUUUGCUGUCACUUAUAGAUGGAUCCGCGCCGCAUUAGCUAGUUGGUAAGGUAACGGCUUACCAAGGCAACGAUGCGUAGCCGACCUGAGAGGGUGAUCGGCCACCCUGGAGCUGAGACACGGUCCAGACUCCUACGGGAGGCAGCAGUAGGGAAUCUUCCGCAAUGGGCGAAAGCCUGACGGAGCAGCGCCGCGUGAGUGAUGAAGGUCUUCGGAUCGUAAAACUCUGUUAUUAGGGAAGAACAAAUGUGUAAGUAACUAUGCACGGCUUGACGGUACCUAAUCAGAAAGCCACGGCUAACUACGUG